rnacentral:lncRNA from 1 species
GUGAUGUUGUGAUGGAAGUUGAUUUUGAGCAACUUAUUGUUUCUUAGUCACAUGUGAAAAUGAUGAUGGAGAGCAAGGUUGUGUUUGUUAUGGAUGGAUGAAAGUGAGGUGAAGGAGAAGGGAAAAUGAAGAUGGUUUGGAGUUUGUGAGUUUUAAUGGAAGGAGUAUGUUGUUUAGAUGUGGUUAUCUGACGAAGAAGAAAA